rnacentral:rRNA from 1 species
AUUGAACGCUGGCGGCAGGACUAACACAUGCAAGUCGAGCGGAGCGGCGGACGGGUGAGUAAUGCCUAGGAAUCUGCCUGGUAGUGGGGGAUAACGUCCGGAAACGGGCGCUAAUACCGCAUAAUAUCAGAUGAGCCUAGGUCGGAUUAGCUAGUUGGUGGGGUAAAGGCCUAACAAGGCGACGAUCCGUAACUGGUCUGGGAGGAUGAUCAGUCAAACGGGAACUGAGAUACGGCCCAGACUCCUACGGGAGGCAGCAGUGGGGUAUAUUGCACAAUGGGCGAAAGCCUGAUGCAGCGACGCCGCGUGGGGGAUGAAGGCUUUCGGAUUGUAAAGCACUUUAAGUUGGGAGGCGUUACCAACAGAAUAAGCACCGGCUAACUUCGUGCCAGCAGCCGCGGUAAUUC